UUGCGAAGAAUGACCCUAUAAUGUAGCAGGUGGGAUUACUACUGGAGAUUGGACCUCUGCUGCAAGUGGGAGAGGAAUCUUUUGCAUCUCAGAGCUGUGUGAAACCCCAGAGUGUGUAGGAACAGAAGGAGGCCUGUCUAGGAGGCAAACAGGUGCAGAUCUCUCAGCAGAAAGGAGUCAGACUGAGAAUUCUGCCUGGAUCUUUACCAAAGUUUCAGUGGUUGUGUCCGGUAUGUGGAUGAAGCUUGCUUGAAGGCAGCAUCUGCAAGGUCGUUCAGCAGAAAAAGACGAAUGAUCUGAUACUGUCAUCGCCAGGGACCAAGACAGGAGCAGAACGGGAUUCAGAGAGGACGCCUGCGCUUCGGGAGGUCCUGCCCCUUGAUGCCAUCCAAGCCCCCUGGGGGACCCUCGCCCGGCGUGGGGGCUCCUGGCGCAGCACGGAUCGAGUUUCGCUUGUGCUGCUCCUUGUCACCAGUAACUCGUCUUGCCGGCUCUGCUCUUCAAGGGCUGCAGCUCUUGGGGCAGCUGACCCUUUUGCUGUCCUUUACGGAUGGCACGUGUCCCCAUUAUCCCAGCCUGCUGGUCACUCAAGUGAAAUGUUCAAAAAAAAAGUAUAGCAAAAUACAGCAAAUAGCAUCAAAAAGGUUUUGCAGAUGUGGUAACUCCUCCUGGUCGCAAUAAGCAGACUAGUUUAUUCUUGCUGUAAUA